ensembl:snRNA
GUCAUGUGUGAAAGGGGAGAAAGUUAGUUCUCCCCCUGAUAGAGAGAAAAGAGGUUCUGGUGACCUUUAAAUCUUAUACAAUUAAAACAGCAUUGCUUACUCGGUGGCAUCAAGCCAUGUUUUCUU